CUGGGGCCUGUUGCACAAAAGUAGAAUUAAGACAUCCGGGAUAAAUGACUCAGCUGAGCUCAAUGAAGCCAAAACAUGUGCGUCCAGGCUUAAUUGGUUGCACAAAGACCAAGCCAGGAUGAGCAGACACGGAUUCAUUAAGCCAGGUGAAACCAAUCCUGGAUAGGUGCGCGCUCACGGCUCACUCAAAUAGACCCCGCCACAGAUCACAGAUUAACUGAUUUACCAUGGCAACUAGAGCCGCGUACUUUUCCCGGUCGGAAGCACAAAUCCUCAUGGAGGCAUACGAGGAGGUAAAAGAUAUAAUUAAGAAGAAAGGCAACACCGCCACAGUGAUAAAGCAAAGAGAAAAAGCGUGGCAAAGUAUUGCAGACCGCCUGAAUGCGUAAGUAGUGCACAAUUACACACUCACCGCUCCGCUGAAACAUCACAAUUACAAUUCAAAUAUUUAAUUCACAUCUCCAAAAAUGCAGUUGUACUGUAAUUAUGAAACGGUUAAAUUUUUAAUUGAAAUGCACUGCAGAUAUGAGUGAAAUUGUGUAAAGUAACUCCAUCACACUGUAUAAAGCUAUGAUAAAUUUUUUGAUAUUUUUACUGAAAACAAGACAAAAAUACCAAGUAAUUUUUUGCAGUGUGACUCCAUUAAGUGUGUGUGUGUGUGUGUGUGUGUGUGUGUGUGUGUGUGUGUGUGUAGAUUAAACAUGAACGGGCCAAAACGGACAUGGCAGCAGGUCAAAAUCAAAUACAAGAACAUUCUGCAGAAUGCAGUGAAAAAGAAUACCCACAGACAAGGCACGGGUGGUGGGUCACCAAAGGCUGACCUUACCCCAGCAGAGGACAUGGCCUUGGAGCUAAAUAAAGGCAGGCCCGUCUUAGAGGGGAUCCCUGGGGGAAAGAGACGAGCAUAGGUUCCUCCCAAGAUGCCACCCACUUCAUUCAAGUGCCUGGCAGCACUGUGUUCCUGUUAGAGCCACCAGCACAAGCACCAGACGAUGCUGAUCCAGGUGAAGGCCCCAGUGCAGCAGCAACAGCACAUGAUGGAGACGAUGAUGAGGAGGAGACCAUCUCUGGAUUCCAGAAGGCAUGAGGUAUCAUGUUAAGACGGUGAAAGUACUAUUUACUCUACAAUGGUGAGGAGUCCUCAUCAAAAUCAAAAAAUCUAAUUUCUUUUACAGGACCCAGAUGCUAUACAGUGGGAAAACCAGCCUGGCAACAUAGUGCGUAUUAAUAAAAGGACACCACAUCCUGCCAAAUUCCAGCUGCGCUAAUUGUAUUGUGUUCACAGAGCUCACAAGCUAUCAGAAAGUUGUAUGGCAACCACCUCCGGCGCCAAAUAGAACUGGCAGACAUAGACAUUCAGUACAAGAAGAAAAAGAUGGAAAAUCUUGCACUGGAGUCCGAAAUAAAAAGAGGACAAUUAGGAAACUGGACCUUGAAAUAAAAAAACUUGAGAGGGAGCUCCAAGAAGAUGACACAGCUCAAAAUAAAAAUUAGGUAUAUUCUCGUAAAGUCAAGUGAGCCAUGACAUAUGAGCUCUUAUUGUGAGCACACAGGACGGUGGCAUCUUUCUAAGGUUUUUUUUAUUUUCCCAGCAAUCAGUACAACCAAGUCAUCGUUAUAAGGCAUCGCCCUCUUUUGCCCACCCCCCCAGCACCAGGUGUGGCCACUAGCCUAUAUGAAGGCCCAAAAUUGUGUGUUCCUUUCUGCUCUGACAAUGGCAUGCCCAUUCGUGCGAGAUGUGGUGGAUGAAGAAGCACUUGUGCUGAGGAGAGCCUUCAGGCGAGAAAGGGUCUUCAGGGACCGGUUGGACCCACUGGCCUUCCCUGAUGACCAUCUAUAUGAAAGAUACAGGUUUUCUGCAGAUGGCAUCAGGUAUCUAUGCAGACUACUGGGUCCCAGGAUUAAGCACCGCACUGCACGGAGCCAUGCACUGAGUGUGGAGCAAAUGGUUUGUGUGGCCUUGCGCUUUUUUUGCUAGUGGAGCCUUCCUGUACUCAGUGGGGGAUGCAGAACAGCUGAACAAGGCCACAAUUUGCCGCACAAUAAGGAGUGUGUGUCUGGCUAUCAAAGCAUUAGCAGAUGUCUUCAUCUCCUUCCCUGGCCACAGAAGACUCUGUGACAUCAAAGAGGAGUUCUAUAGGAUUGCAGAUGGUCUGCAAUGCUGACUGUGUGAUCAGCAAUGUUGUGGCAAAAUGGCCUGGCUCAGUCCAUGACUCCAGAAUUUUCGGGCCUCUGAAAUCUAUC